rnacentral:rRNA from 1 species
CGUAGGGUGCGAGCGUUAAUCGGAAUUACUGGGCGUAAAGCGUGCGCAGGCGGUUAUAUAAGACAGAUGUGAAAUCCCGGGCUCAACCUGGGAACUGCAUUUGUGACUGUAUAGCUAGAGUACGGCAGAGGGGGAUGGAAUUCCGCGUGUAGCAGUGAAAUGCGUAGAGAUGUGGAGGAACACCAAUGGCGAAGGCAGCCCCCUGGGUCGAUACUGACGCUCAUGCACGAAAGCGUGGGUAGCAAACAGGAUUAGAUACCCUGGUAGUCCACGCCCUAAACGAUGUCAACUAGGUGUUGGGUGGGUAAAACCAUUUAGUACCGGAGCGAACGCGUGAAGCUGACCGCCUGGGGAGUACGGCCGCAAGGUUA